rnacentral:rRNA from 1 species
UGGUGGGUUGCCUUGUCAGGUUGAUUCCGGUAACGAACGAGACCUCAGCCUGCUAAAUAGUCACGUCUGCCUUUGGCAGGCGCCUGACUUCUUAGAGGGACUAUUGGCGUUUAGCCAAUGGAAGUGUGAGGCGAUAACA